rnacentral:miRNA from 1 species
ACCCAGAUCUUCUAACCCAAUG